GACGAACGCUGGCAGCGUGCCUAAUACAUGCAAGUCGGGCGGACCACUUCGGUGGUCAGCGGCGGACGGGUGAGUAACACGUGGGCAACCUGCCUGUAAGACUGGGAUAACACCGGGGAACCGGUGCUAAUACCGGAUAAUCCUUUCCUUCACAUGAGGGAAAGCUGAAAGACGGUUUCGGCUGUCACUUACAGAUGGGCCCGCGGCGCAUUAGCUAGUUGGUGAGGUAACGGCUCACCAAGGCAACGAUGCGUAGCCGACCUGAGAGGGUGAUCGGCCACACUGGGACUGAGACACGGCCCAGACUCCUACGGGAGGCAGCAGUAGGGAAUCUUCCGCAAUGGACGAAAGUCUGACGGAGCAACGCCGCGUGAGCGAUGAAGGCCUUCGGGUCGUAAAGCUCCGUUGUCAGGGAAGAACAAGUACCGGAGUAACUGCCGGUACCUUGACGGUACCUGACCAGAAAGCCACGGCUAACUACGUGCCAGCCGCCGCGGUAAGAC
rnacentral:rRNA from 1 species